rnacentral:rRNA from 1 species
UGAGACCUGAUGCCGAGCCGAUUGUGGUGAAGUGGAUGAUCCUAUGCUGUCGAGAAAAGCCUCUAGCGAGUUUCAUGGCGGCCCGUACCCUAAACCGACUCAGGUGGUCAGGUAGAGAAUACCGAGGCGUUCGGGUGAACUAUGGUUAAGGAAUUCGGCAAAAUGCCCCCGUAACUUCGGGAGAAGGGGGGCCACUUCUGGUGAUGAUCUAUACGGUCUGAGCUGGGGGUGGCCGCAGAGACCAGCGAGAAGCGACUGUUUACUAAAAACACAGGUCCGUGCGAAGCCGUAAGGCGAUGUAUACGGACUGACGCCUGCCCGGUGCUGGAACGUUAAGGGGACCGGUUAGCUCACUUUCGGGUGGGCGAAGCUGAGAACUUAAGCGCCAGUAAACGGCGGUGGUAACUAUAACCAUCCUAAGGUAGCGAAAUUCCUUGUCGGGUAAGUUCCGACCUGCACGAAUGGCGUAACGACUUCUCGACUGUCUCAACCAUAGGCCCGGUGAAAUUGCACUACGAGUAAAGAUGCUCGUUUCGCGCAGCAGGACGGAAAGACCCCGGGACCUUUACUACAGUUUGAUAUUGGUGUUCGGUUCGGCUUGUGUAGGAUAGCUGGGAGACUGUGAAGCGGCCACGCCAGUGGUUGUGGAGUCGUCGUUGAAAUACCAGUCUGGUCGUGCUGGAUGUCUAACCCGGGUCCGUGAUCCGGAUCGGGGACAGUGUCUGAUGGGUAGUUUAACUGGGGCGGUUGCCUCCUAAAGGGUAACGGAGGCGCCCAAAGGUUCCCUCAGCCUGGUUGGCAAUCAGGUGUUGAGUGUAAGUGCACAAGGGAGCUUGACUGUGAGACCGACGGGUCGAGCAGGGACGAAAGUCGGGACUAGUGAUCCGGCGGUGGCUUGUGGAAGCGCCGUCGCUCAACGGAUAAAAGGUACCCCGGGGAUAACAGGCUGAUCUUCCCCAAGAGUCCAUAUCGACGGGAUGGUUUGGCACCUCGAUGUCGGCUCGUCGCAUCCUGGGGCUGGAGUCGGUCCCAAGGGUUGGGCUGUUCGCCCAUUAAAGCGGUACGCGAGCUGGGUUUAGAACGUCGUGAGACAGUUCGGUCCCUAUCCGCUGUGCGCGUAGGAGUCUUGAGAAGGGCUGUCCCUAGUACGAGAGGACCGGGACGGACGAACCUCUGGUGUGCCAGUUGUUCUGCCAAGGGCAUGGCUGGUUGGCUACGUUCGGGAGGGAUAACCGCUGAAAGCAUCUAAGCGGGAAGCCUGCUUCGAGAUGAGGGCUCCCACCCACUUGAUGGGGUAAGGCUCCCAGUAGACGACUGGGUUGAUAGGCCAGAUCUGGAAGCAUCGUGAGGUGUGGAGGUGACUGGUACUAAUAGGCCGAGGGCUUGUCCUCAGUUG